UACGUAGGUGGCAAGCGUUAUCCGGAUUUAUUGGGCGUAAAGGGAACGCAGGCGGCCUUUUAAGUCUGAUGUGAAAGCCUUCGGCUUAACCGGAGUAGUGCAUUGGAAACUGGGAGACUUGAGUGCAGAAGAGGAGAGUGGAACUCCAUGUGUAGCGGUGAAAUGCGUAGAUAUAUGGAAGAACACCAGUGGCGAAAGCGGCUCUCUGGUCUGUAACUGACGCUGAGGUUCGAAAGCGUGGGUAGCAAACGGG
rnacentral:rRNA from 1 species